UACGAAGGGUGCAAGCGUUACUCGGAAUUACUGGGCGUAAAGCGUGCGUAGGCGGUUUUUUAAGUCUGUCGUGAAAGCCCUGGGCUCAACCUGGGAAUUGCGAUGGAUACUGGCAAGCUUGAGUACGGGAGAGGAUGGUGGAAUUCCCGGUGUAGCGGUGAAAUGCGUAGAGAUCGGGAGGAACACCGGUGGCGAAGGCGGCAACCUGGACCAGUACUGACGCUGAGGCGCGAAAGCGGGGGGAGCAAACAGG
rnacentral:rRNA from 1 species